GAUGAACGCUAGCUACAGGCUUAACACAUGCAAGUCGAGGGGAAACGAUAGAGAAAGCUUGCUUUUUCUAGGCGUCGACCGGCGCACGGGUGAGUAACGCGUAUCCAACCUGCCCAUCACUUGGGGAUAACCUUGCGAAAGUAAGACUAAUACCCAAUGACGUCUCUAGAAGACAUCUGAAGGAGAUUAAAGAUUUAUCGGUGAUGGAUGGGGAUGCGUCUGAUUAGCUUGUUGGCGGGGUAACGGCCCACCAAGGCGACGAUCAGUAGGGGUUCUGAGAGGAAGGCCCCCCANACUGGGACUGAGACACGGUCCAAACUCCUACGGGAGGCAGCAGUGAGGAAUAUUGGUCAAUGGACGAGAGUCUGAACCAGCCAAGUAGCGUGCAGGAUGACGGCCCUAUGGGUUGUAAACUGCUUUUAUAAGGGAUAAAGUGGGAGUCGUGACUCUUUUUGCAUGUACCUUAUGAAUAAGGACCGCUAAUUCCGUG
rnacentral:rRNA from 1 species